rnacentral:lncRNA from 1 species
GGAAAGAUAACAAGGCAGUCAAGAACUACAGGGAAAGACAUGGAAGUAGAAGGAAAUUCAGCGAGAUCAACUUUGGUGCUACUUUUCGCCUGGAGGUACCUGACCAUUUCAGAAGAGGGAGUUCUGUAAAGAAGGUCAUAAGAACUAGCCAAACUAAACUCCACACAGUGAAGAUAUGGCUGGCUUUGUUUAUAAGGAAGGCUACAGAUCUAGCCCAGUCCCUCAUGUCUCAUUUAGUUUUCUAUCUCCUUAAUGUCCUACAAUCUGAGAUACUGACUCCGUCUUCCUUCGUCCUUCAUGAUGCUGACACUUGGAGUAGCACUGGUCAGGCAACCACUGUCAAUUCAAGCUCUUCUGGAAAGUUCCUCUUCUUGACAAAAGGACCAUUAGAGAUUGUUACUGAGCAUCCCUUUUGUGACAGACAUUCUACAAACACCCAUGGGGGAUGAAAGGAGAGAUAACACAGGGUCCUGGCUUUCAAGAAGAUUAUAACCUAAAAGACACAUUUCCACAAAUAGCUAUAAGAAAAUGGACACAAGAGAAAGUGAAACCCGCUUUUCACCAAAGUUGAUGGAAUAUUUGAACUUCACCUAAGACAGUCUUUCAUCUUCUGAUCCUAAAAUUCUCCAGUGG